rnacentral:rRNA from 1 species
UACGCAGGGGGCUAGCGUUGCUCGGAAUCACUGGGCGUAAAGCGCACGUAGGCGGAUUGUUAAGUCGGGGGUGAAAUCCUGGAGCUCAACUCCAGAACUGCCUUCGAUACUGGCGAUCUUGAGUCCGGGAGAGGUGAGUGGAACUCCGAGUGUAGAGGUGAAAUUCGUAGAUAUUCGCAAGAACACCAGUGGCGAAGGCGGCUCACUGGCCCGAUACUGACGCUGAGGUGCGAAAGCGUGGGGAGCAAACAGG